AUACGUAGGGAGCGAGCGUUGUCCGGAAUUACUGGGUGUAAAGGGAGCGUAGGCGGGAGUGCAAGUCAGAUGUGAAAUACAUGGGCUCAACCCAUGGGCUGCAUUUGAAACUGCAUUUCUUGAGUGAAGUAGAGGUAAGCGGAAUUCCUGGUGUAGCGGUGAAAUGCGUAGAUAUCAGGAGGAACACCGGUGGCGAAGGCGGCUUACUGGGCUUUUACUGACGCUGAGGCUCGAAAGCGUGGGGAGCAAACAGGAUUAGAUACCCUGGUAGUCCACGCUGUAAACGAUGAUUACUAGGUGUGGGGGGACUGACCCCUUCCGUGCCGCAGUUAACACAAUAAGUAAUCCACCUGGGGAGUACGGCCGCAAGGUUGAAACUUAAAGGAAUUGACGGG
rnacentral:rRNA from 1 species